UACAGGAGACAUGCAUCAAGAUUGGUAUUAAGGGUAGCACCGUGUGGAAUAUGUUGAUUAAAUGGGAAUGCAAAAAGCUGCAGACAGUAAUUUCUGGUGUGGACAAGUCCUUUUUAUGCCACAAACGUACCGGUUUUGUUUGUCUUUUGUUCCAGUUUUGUUGAGCUAUAGCACAAGAGAGCCCCUCCAGAUAGCAACAAAGCACCAUCAUUGGAGAAGCAUCACAAAACUAAUAAUAUGGAAUGAUGUGUGGAUGCUCCAGCAUAAAUCCACCACUAUUGCAUGAUUAUUGCAUCAAUGACAUGUUGAAGAAUCCACCUGCGAAAAGACCCUUACUCUCAGGUGAAGUGUAAAGAACAAUGAGUACGGUGUACAAAGGUAGAUUCAUUGGGAUGGCACUGACGAGUCCACAGUUGAUCCAGGACCCAGGAACCUGGAGCCAAUUCUGCAACAUGCACUUCUUCUAUAAAGACUUCUGGAACGCAAGGUGCUGUGCAGAGUUCUCCUCCCCAUUGUAUUCUCACCACAACCCUGUGAGGUCAACGCUCUCCAGAAGUCAUCUUCUCCCUUUCUCUCCACUGUUCUACAGUAACUUGGAGCAGGGCUUUCAGAGUGGCUGGCCCCGUUUUGCGAAACAGAGUCCCUGUUGAGAUACGACAGACACUCACUAUUUGUCCUUUCCGGGAACGACUGAAGGCAUUUUUGUUUGGACACACUUUCCAAGCUGGAUGAAAAGGCCUUGGGUGUUAUUUUUGUACUGUUUUAAGACCUAGCUUUAGUUGUUGCAUUUGCACUGUUUUAAAAACUAUUUUAGCUGUUUUCAUAGUGUGUUUGUAAAUGGCCUUGAGACACAUGUAAAAGAGAUACCGUACACACAUGUGUGUAUCCAUGUGUGUAUCUUAAGAAGUGUGCAUGCACACGAAAGCUCAUACCAAUGACAAACUUAGUUGGAAGGAUUUUUUUUAAGUAAAAGAGAAUUCAUCAUCCUCAUCAGUAAUGAAGGAGAAAAAAUAUAGGCCUGUGUUUCUGCUUAAAUACAGGAAUACAUUCUGCAUCCACCUGCAUGUUCUUUGCAAGAAUUGAUAGUGGGUGUUAGCAUCUAAUUUGCAAGCCCCUUUGCCGUGCAUGGAGAGGUGGGGAGUUCAGUAAAGAUUUUGAAGAGGGCGUGCCCAACUAAGAGCACUCCAAAGACCACAAUCUGAGGGAAAUGGGCUUCUUUCUUAUGCAUACUCUUUUAAAUACCCAGCCUACAUUGCUGUCAUGUUCCCUAUGUGGGGCUGCCUUAAAAGACAGUCUGCAAACUUGAGCUGGUGCAAUAUUUAGCUGCCAGAAUUCUUGUGGGAACAAGCCUAUUUGAUUAUAUCGCCCAUUCAUUUCUGGGCUCAGUUUAAAGUACUAGUACUAACCUUUAAAACCCUAAAUGGUUGGGAACCACAUUAUUUGAGAGUUUCCCUACACCCAUAUGAAUCUGCCCAGGUCCUCAGAUUGUUCUCAGAGUGCCCUGCUAUCUGUUGUGCGCCACUGAUAAAGUGACCAGCUUAGCAGUUAACAGGAACAGGGCCUUUUUCAGUGGUGGCCCCCACACUUGUAUAAUUCCAUCCCUUGAGAAUUCUGGUUA